rnacentral:rRNA from 1 species
GACGAACGCUGGCGGCGUGCUUAACACAUGCAAGUCGAACGGAAAGGCCCUGCUUUUGUGGGGUGCUCGAGUGGCGAACGGGUGAGUAACACGUGAGUAACCUGCCCUUGACUUUGGGAUAACUUCAGGAAACUGGGGCUAAUACCGGAUAGGAGCUCCUGCUGCAUGGUGGGGGUUGGAAAGUUUCGGCGGUGGGGGAUGGACUCGCGGCUUAUCAGCUUGUUGGGGGGGUAGUGGCUUACCAAGGCUUUGACGGGUAGCCGGCCUGAGAGGGUGAACGGCCACCUUGGGACUGAGGGACGGCGCAGGCUCCUACGGUCGGCAACAGUGGGGAGUAUUGCGCAAUGGCGCGACGCCUGAUGCGACAACCCCGCGUGCGGGAUGCCGGGCUUCGGGUUGAGAACCGCUUUCGACUGUGACGAAGCGUGCGUGACGGUAAUGAGUAAGAAAGCCCCGGCUAACUACGUG